GGUGGCCGGAGGCCGUGACAGUCGAUCAUCGAAUGCUGUCACGCGUUGAUCCGCCACU
rfam:Pseudomonas caspiana strain FBF102 scaffold00037, whole genome shotgun sequence.